rnacentral:rRNA from 1 species
UUGCUCUUCAACGAGGAAUGCCUAGUAAGCGCGUAUCAUCAGUACGCGUUGAUUACGUCCCUGCCCUUUGUACACACCGCCCGUCGCUACUACCGAUUGAAUGGCUCAGUGAGGCUUUCGGACUGGCUUAGGGAGGUUGGCAACGACCACCCCGAGCCGGAAAGUUCGUCAAACUCGGUCAUUUAGAGGAAGUAAAAGUCGUAACAAGGUUUCCGUAGGUGAACCUUCGGAAGGAUCAUUACCGUAACGCGGCGGUCCGGCAACCGCAAGGAAGUCGGCCGCCACACGCGUUUAUCACCCUUGACUUUGAGCACCCUUCGUUUCCUCGGCGGGUUCGCCCGCCAGCGAGGACCCCCACAAACCCUUUGUAAUAGCAAUAUUUGUCUGAAAAACAACCAAUAAUCAAAACUUUCAACAAUGGAUCUCUUGGUUCUGGCAUCGAUGAAGAACGCAGCGAAAUGCGAUAAGUAGUGUGAAUUGCAGAAUUCAGUGAAUCAUCGAAUCUUUGAACGCACAUUGCGCCCCUCGGUAUUCCGUGGGGCAUGCCUGUUCGAGCGUCAUUUAACCCCUCAAGCCUAGCUUGGUAUUGGGUGCUUGUCCCGCCUCUCGCGCGGCGACUCACCUCAAAGUCAUUGGCAGCCCGCAUCUCGCCGGCCGUGAGCGCAGCACAGACGCGCUCUUGGCAACGACGGAUCGGCUCUCCAAAAGCUUAUUUCAACCACUGACCUCGGAUCAGGUAGGGAUACCCGCUGAACUUAAGCAUAUCAAUAAGCGGAGGA